GAUUUCUGGUCUGACAUGCCUGGCCCGCUGGGGUUACCUGGUGAGUGCCGGUGCGUGUCUGCCAUCCUUCUAGAAAACGGCCUUACCCUUCACUGGGCCGGGGUCGCGAUCUAGAUCUUUUACUUUGAAAAAAUUAGAGUGUUUAAAGCAGGCGUCUUGCUAUGAAUACAUUAGCAUGGAAUAAUAAGUUAGGACUUCGGUUCUAUUUUGUUGGUUUCUAGGACUGAAGUAAUGAUUGAUAGGGAUAGUUGGGGGUGCUAGUAUUCAGCGGCCAGAGGUGAAAUUCUCGGAUUCGCUGAAGACUAACUUAUGCGAAAGCAUU
rnacentral:rRNA from 1 species